rnacentral:rRNA from 1 species
UACGUAGGGGGCUAGCGUUGUCCGGAAUCAUUGGGCGUAAAGAGCGUGUAGGCGGUCCGGUAAGUCCGCUGUGAAAGUCGGGGGCUCAACCCUCGAAUGCCGGUGGAUACUGUCGGGCUAGAGUACAGAAGGGGCAACUGGAAUUCUCGGUGUAGCGGUGAAAUGCGUAGAUAUCGAGAGGAACACCUGCGGCGAAGGCGGGUUGCUGGGCUGAUACUGACGCUGAGGCGCGAAAGCCAGGGGAGCGAACGGG